UUGAACAUCUGGAGGACGGGCUCGCAGCCUUCCCUUGCCGCCUCGCAGAACGACGCACAAGGAGUGCGGAAGUCUGUGAGGACACGAGGACACCAGAGAAGGAAGGAACGGAAGGAGACGAGGAUGAAGACGAGUUAAAGAUGAAAGGGUGGAAAAGAGAGACGUCGACGGAUGAAAGAGAAGAAAGGAGUGAGUGCCAGGACGAGCAGCAGCAGCGCCGCCAACAGGCUGACAGUGGGAAUCAGGAUGUAGA